rnacentral:rRNA from 1 species
UACGUAGGGUGCGAGCGUUAAUCGGAAUUACUGGGCGUAAAGCGUGCGCAGGCGGUUGUGCAAGACAGAUGUGAAAUCCCCGGGCUUAACCUGGGAAUGGCAUUUGUGACUGCACGGCUAGAGUGUGUCAGAGGGGGGUAGAAUUCCACGUGUAGCAGUGAAAUGCGUAGAUAUGUGGAGGAAUACCGAUGGCGAAGGCAGCCCCCUGGGAUAACACUGACGCUCGUGCACGAAAGCGUGGGGAGCAAACAGG